rnacentral:lncRNA from 10 species
ACCAGGGACUUCCCACAGAGGCAUGAAAAAUAUCAGUCCUGGACAGGGACUUUCCACCUAUGUCUGAAAAAGAACAAGUAUCCUGAUUCACGCUCUACAUUCAUUAAGCAUGAUUGAUCGUACUAGAAAAGGGGAGAAUUCUUGGCAAUCCACACAGCUAUCACCUGUUUCUUUCUACAAAUUUCAGAUAUUAUAUCUUUCUCACAUCACAUAGCUAAUAAUUUGCCCCUACUCCACCUUUUCACAGGGUCUCGAAACCAGACUAAUGCUAGGACUAUUGAAGUAGUGUUAUUUGCUGGAGACAAAUGAUGUUACUUCACUCAGUGGUUGCAUAGGAAGAAAACUGAUAAGUAAUGGAGGUUUUCAUAAAGUCCCUUUGUCCAGAAAACUGACCUGCUUCAUCUUAAAGCACAGAGCCUGGGAACCAGGAUAGAUAAUCACCCUGGGGGUUUGAGAACUCAGUCUUUGGAUGCUAUCUCUGAAAGACGAAAAGAGGUCUAAAAAAAUUCCACAUUUUCUCUUUCUACCCAUUAGAUAGUAGUACUUUGCACAAGUUUGGAAGGACACAAGGCACUCAGUAAAACCAGUCUCCUAGUCUCACUGUCACCUCCCCAGGCUUGAUGCUCCUCCUCUACCUAUAUGACACUUGCCUUACCAAUAGAUGAUUUUGGUGUUUUACAUUUGCACAUUUCAGUUCAUCACCUUUCUAAGAAGAGACUGCUCAGCUUCUAAGGCCUCUCAUAAAUACAGGUCCUCUCUGUGCAUCUUCUCUUAUCGUAUACUAUUCUUUAAUCUAGAUGUUCACUCCAGUCAAUCUGGGCUUUUCCCUAAAUCAACCCACUCCCUGUCCCACCCCCGCUGCCAGUACUGCUCUCACUCAUGCUGUUCAUGAUGGUUCCUUUCCCA